rnacentral:lncRNA from 1 species
UCCUGGACAAGAAACACUUUGCCAACCUCUGGACUAGACUGAGUAAAGCAAGCAGAAAGAUCCAAUUUUAAAAAGAGGUGAGGAAAAUGGGACAACUUGGCUAUGGAGAGAGCAAGAAGAAUGCAACUGAUGUGCACAAAGUUUGAAGACAAAGUUACUCAGUUUAGAUCAGGGGUCCACAACCCCCAGCCAUGGACCAGUACUGAUUUGUGGCCUGUUAGGAACUCAGUUGCAGUAGGAGGUGAAUGCCAG